AGUGAACGCUGGCGGUAGGCCUAACACAUGCAAGUCGAACGGCAGCACAGUAAGAGCUUGCUCUUACGGGUGGCGCGUGGCGGACGGGUGAGGAAUACAUCGGAAUCUACUAUUUCGUGGGGGAUAACGUAGGGAAACUUACGCUAAUACCGCAUACGACCUACGGGUGAAAGCAGGGGAUCUUCGGACCUUGCGCGAUUGAAUGAGCCGAUUUCGGAUUAGUUAGUUGGCGGGGUAAAGGCCCACCAAGGCGACGAUCCGUAGCUGGUCUGAGAGGAUGAUUAGGCACACGGUAACUGAGGCACGUCCCAGACUCCUACGGGAGGAAGCAGUGGGGAAUAUUACACAAUGGGGGCAAGCCUAAUCCAGCCAUACCGCGUAGAUGCAGAAGGCCUUCUGGUUGGAGAGCCCUGUUGUUGUGAAAGAAAAGCAGCAGUUUAACACCCCGCUGUUCUGACGGUACCCAAAGAAUAAGCACCGGCUAACUUCGUG
rnacentral:rRNA from 1 species